rnacentral:misc_RNA from 1 species
AACGCACAUUGCGCCCUUUGGCAUUCCGAAGGGCAUGCCUGUUCGAGCGUCAUGAUCAACCCUCAAGCCUGGCUUGGUGUUGGAUGUGAUCGUCGUGAUGGACGAUCCGUCCCGAAGACAAUGACGGCGUCGCGAAGUGCCCCGGUACAUGGAGCUUUCACAGCACGUACUGGUGUCGGCUGCGCGACCCGGCCACGGUGGACCAACUCGUUGGUUCACACUUCCACAAGGUUGACCUCGGAUCAGGUAGGAAUACCCGCUGAACUUAA